CAAUAGCGUAUAUUAAAGUUGUUGCAGUUAAAAAGCCCGUAGUUGAACUUCAGACCUGGCCGGGCGGUCUGCCUAACGGUAUGUACUGUCUGGCUGGGUCUUACCUCUUGGUGAGCCGGCAUGCCCUUUACUGGGUGUGUCGGGGAACCAGGACUUUUACCUUGAGAAAAUUAGAGUGUUCAAAGCAGGCCUAUGCCUGAAUACAUUAGCAUGGAAUAAUAAAAUAGGACGUGCGGUUCUAUUUUGUUGGUUUCUAGAGUCGCCGUAAUGAUUAAUAGGGAUAGUUGGGGGCAUUAGUAUUCAGUUGCUAGAGGUGAAAUUCUUGGAUUUACUGAAGACUAACUACUGCGAAAGCAUUUGCCAAGGAUGUUUUCAUUAA
rnacentral:rRNA from 1 species